UACAGAGGUCCCAAGCGUUGUUCGGAUUCAUUGGGCGUAAAGGGUGCGUAGGCGGCGCGGUAAGUCUGAUGUGAAAUCUCCCGGCUUAACUGGGAGGGGUCAUUGGAAACUGCCGAGCUUGAGGCGAUGAGAGGGGUGUAGAAUUCCCGGUGUAGUGGUGGAAUGCGUAGAUAUCGGAGGAAUACCAGUGGCGAAAGCGGCACCCUGGCAUUAGCCUGACGCUCAUGUGCGAAGGCGUGGGGGAGCGAACGGGG
rnacentral:rRNA from 1 species